GGGGGUCCUCAGAGCCAGGGCGGGAAGAGGGACUGGCUCUCAGUCCCUGCCUCGCGGGGGGUGCCUCCGCCCCCAGCGAUGGGGUCCUAAGAGCAAAGCUGGAGCUGCGUUCGGACCCGUCGGAUCGUAAAUCCCAUGUAAGGUAUCUGCCGUCGGAAGAUUUGAACUUUCUAAUUGGACACCUAACACCCACAGUCCUCCAGACAGAAAGACAACAGGUACAAAGCCCUAAGGAUUAUAAAGGUAUGCUGCUUACCAUCAUCUUAGUGACCAAGGCAGCGAAGCUGUUUCUGUACCUUGGAACAGUCUUCCCUGACAAGCCAGAGAACAGUGAUAAAGCCACCAGCCUUGGGAUCAGGACUGAAAAGGCAAGAGUGAUGGAGAUUUCUCCUGCGCUAAGCCAAGAGAAGGUUUCAGCACUUCAGACAGCUCCCACCGAAGUAGCCGCGCUCCCAGCUGCUUGCAGAUGUUGAAAAGGAAAGCCUCGGUUUGUCUUGAGGUUGUCAGCAGGUGCAAGACACGUAAUAAAAUGCAAUGUGUUCCUAA
rnacentral:lncRNA from 1 species